CCCAGCAAUGGGCAACCGGCGAACGGGUGCGUAACACGUGAGCAACCUACCCAGGUGUGGGGGAUAGCCGUCCCAACGGACGGGUAAUACCGCAUACGCUCUUCUUUAGGCAUUUAGAGAAGAGGAAACCUUCGGGGCACCAUGAGGGGCUCGCGGCCUAUCAGCUAGUUGGCGAGGUAACGGCUCACCAAGGCUACGACGGGUAGCUGGUCUGAGAGGAUGGCCAGCCACAUUGGGACUGAGAAACGGCCCAGACUCCUACGGGAGGCAGCAGUGGGGAAUCUUGCGCAAUGGCCUAACGGCUGACGCAGCGACGCCGCGUGAGGGAUGACGCUCUUCGGAGUGUAAACCUCUUUUGCCUGGAACGAACUAUUGGCUUUUGCCGAUUUGACGGUACCGGGUGAAUAAGCACCGGCUAACUCCGUGCCAGCAGCCGCGGUAAUACGGGGGGUGCGAGCGUUGUCCGGAAUCACUGGGCGUAAAGGGCGCGUAGGUGGCGUGAUAAGGGUGUGGUGAAAGCCCGGGGCUCAACCCCGGGUCGGCCAUGCCGACUGUCAGGCUGGAGUGCUGUAGGGGCAGGCGGAAUUCCGGGUGUAGCGGUGGAAUGCGUAGAGAUCCGGAGGAAGACCGGUGGCGAAGGCGGCCUGCUGGGCAGUUACUGACACUGAUGCGCGACAGCGUGGGGAGCAAACAGGAUUAGAUACCCUGGUAGUCCACGCCGUAAACGAUGGGUACUAGGUGCCUGGGGGAGCGACCCCCUGGGUGCCGGCGCUAACGCAGGAAGUACCCCGCCUGGGGAGUACGGCCGCAAGGCUG
rnacentral:rRNA from 1 species